CGUUGAUUUUAGGCGUAAAAUGAAAUCGAAAAUCACUUAUGAGAGGCAACCUCGUAUAAAAGCGUA
rnacentral:ncRNA from 1 species